CCUACGGGAGGCAGCAGUGGGGAAUAUUGCACAAUGGGGGAAACCCUGAUGCAGCGACGCCGCGUGAGUGAAGAAGUAUCUCGGUACGUAAAGCACUAUCAGCCGGGAAGAAGAUGACGGUACCUGACUAAGAAGCCCCGGCUAACUACGUGCCAGCAGCCGCGGUAAUACGUAGGGGGCAAGCGUUAUCCGGAUUUACUGGGUGUAAAGGGAACGUAGACGGCAGCACAAGUCUGGAGUGAAAUCCCCGGGCUUAACCCGGGAACUGCUUUGGACACUGGGCAGCUAGAGUGCAGGAGGGGUAAGCAGAAUUCCUAGUGUAGCGGUGAAAUGCGUAGAGAUUAGGAGGAAUACCGGUGGCGAAGGCGGCUUACUGGACUGUAACUGACGUUGAGGCUCGAAAGCGUGGGGAGCAAACAGGAUUAGAUACCCGAGUAGUC
rnacentral:rRNA from 1 species